AUGGUUGAGGAACCAGAUGGAAGAGAAUGGAGACUCUCUGGGGUGUACGGGGAGCCUAGCUGGGAUAACAAGGAGCGUACAUACCAACUAAUACAUGACUUGCAUGCUCAGUCUAGUCUUCCGUGGGUGGCGAUAGGAGAUUUUAACGAGAUUCUACUCUCAUCGGAAAAAGAAGGCGGAGCCCCGAGUCAUCAGUCGCGACUACAAGCCUUCCAAGACGCAUUGGCAGAUUGUUCCUUAGAGGACAUUGGGUUUCAUGGUGACAAAUUCACUUGGUUCCGUGGCGGCCUGAAAGAGCGUGUUGAUCGAGCCGUUUCAACCGGCGACUGGAUGGAGAUGCACCCGUUAUUUGGACUUUGCAACCUGGAGAUGGGGCAGUCGGACCACCGACCUAUA
rnacentral:rRNA from 1 species